rnacentral:lncRNA from 1 species
GAGAAGCUCUCGCCAUGAUGGGCAGGGCAGCCACCGCAAGGACCGCCUACACAGCCGCCCGUCGCCGCUACUCCCCCCACUAUCACCCCUCCCUUCGCGCUCUCUCCUCCCCUUCUCCGCCGCUUCUCGGCCCCGCCGGUGCUCCAUCUCCUUCGUGGGCUGGAGUCAGAGAUGUGAUCAGAGCCAUGGGCUCUUCUGGGCACUUGCAGAAGGGUCUCCGUUGUCUCCAG